rnacentral:tRNA from 1 species
GCCCGGAUGGUGAAAUUGGUAGACACAAGGGACUUAAAAUCCCUCGGCGGCAACGCCAUGCCGGUUCGAGUCCGGCUCCGGGCACCA